AAAGAAAAAGAAGCAUGAAAGAAGAAAAAGAAAAUCAACACAUUUGCAACAUUUGUUUAAAAUCUGGCAACUAAUACAAUGAGCAGACGAAUGUUACACUUCGAGACGGUGAAAAAAGACGUGGCCUUGAGCCCUUGACAAGUAAACACGUGGCCUUGACUCCGCAUUAAAACUUAUUAUUUGCCUAUUUUUAUUUGCAAAUUAAACCAUUUUGAAAAAAAAAACUAGUUAACACCAAAUAGCAAAAGAUGCAUCAUAGUUAAUUCAAGUUUAAAACUUCUGAUUUCAGUAGACUAGAUGGAAAACUGUUUGUGGACCACUUUCAGAGUGAUAAGAUGUACCGAUAAACACCACCUGACUCCUAAUAAUAAUAGGACACUUACACAGCAUAGAAGAUUCCCGUUGACGGGAUUCUACUGCAGACUUGGCCAUUCCUGGCAGGUGACAACCUCGGGUCAAUUACUCAACUGGUUUCUUGUAACAAUACAUGGGAAUUAGGAAGACGGACAUCACAGUGGACUACAAUCACCGAUUAAUCCUUCGCCGUUGUUUCAGCGCAGCGAUACCA